CAGUUAAACAUUGUUCCGAAACCAUCCAAACGUGAUGGGUUUUCUAUCACUGAAUAUUGUUUUGUUAAUAAUUGGUAUUUAAACAUUUAUCCCUCUCAUAUUUAGUUUAAUCGUCAUACUUUAAAGGAUGUGAUUUGAACGGGUUGUCGUAUAUUUGUAGACUGCUUGGUGUAGUGGUUAAGACGAGUGAAUUUGAAUCUGUAGUUUGCAGUUCGUGUCCCGGUGAAUGAAUUUCAGUAAUGUUUCCUGAUGAUGAUAUAUGUGAUGACGAGUCUUAAUCUGCACAUUCAGUGUGCGAAUUGACGACAAAUCGAGGCAUUUGGCUGAGGGGUACAUUUCUAUUUUCAUGCCUCACUUUACGGAAAGUAGCAGUUGGACCUUGUUACGAAACCAGAAAACGUGAUGUGGUUUCUGUCGUGGAAAAUUGUUUUAUGAUUGAUUGGUAUUUUAAAACGUAUGAUUAUUCUAAUCCGCUUUAUCAACAUACUUUAAACUAUUUAAACUAAUUUCCAAACCCCUAUCCUUCCCAUAAUUCCCUUCCUGCAAAUCCACUCCUUCGAAAUGCCAUGAAUGUAUUUAAAUACUGCACUUUCUACUAGUUGCUCCCAUUUGCCACUAGAUGACUCCUUGGUCGCAAAGUCACAAACGAAAGGACGUUAGGCUUGUCUGCUAAUGAAAUAUAUCGUUCUUUGAGAAAUUGAGCAAAGCAAUGAAUGACGAAACGCCGUCGUCGCCAGCUAGAAAGAAAUUAAGACAAAUGAGUAUAAUGGAUAGCCUUUCAAAACCAGGAACCACACAAAGUAACUGUGUUAGUGUUGGAAUCUCAAGUACUGAUUGCACUAUUGAUAUUGAACCAGAAGAAGAUGGAAUCACCAUUGUAGAACAAUCAAUUACAACAACCACAACAUACAGCAGUGAAUUACAGAAUGAUAAUUCAACUGAGAAAUCUUGGAAAGGAAAACCACUUACUGAGAUGCCCAGUUUGUUUCUUCAAAAGUGUGUGCAAUUAUCUGAUAUCAAACCUGGCAGGGAUCACACAGUUUUAUUUAAUGCCCCAUUUUUAAUGUCAGAUGCUGUCCCAGAACCACAUCCGACCAGCUAUACUGAUAAAUGGGAUACUGAACAUGUCAAGAUGCCUUGUUCUCCCAGCAAUCUAUACCCAGUCAAUAUUAAUGGUAAUUCUGCUUUGGAUCAAAGAUGGAAGUUGGUUAAACAAGCUUUCUGUGAUAAAAAAAUCAGUUGUUCACUUGAACUCGAGAAAGCCAUUUUAUCCUAUAACAGCCGGUACAAUCAGAUUUGGAAUUUUAGAGGGUUUCAUGAAUUUGUGGACAAGGAGCUAUCGUCAACCGAAAGACAAAAAUUAUUUGACCAUAUUUUACCGGGCAUCAUUCGAUUAGCCAUCGAAGUUCCAGAGCGCGUCACCCGAACUCCAGUUUUACUCGUCCGCAACAAAUCACAUAGUAUAUCGAUGUCUCAGUCGCAGAUUGCUUCACUGUUAGCCAACGCAUUCCUUAAUACUUAUCCACGGAGGAACACUCAGAAGAGACAGUCGGAAUUCGCUUCUUACCCAGACAUAAACUUUAUUAAGUUACUUGAAAAUAGAUCAAGAUCCAGUUGGGUUUAUGGAAAACUUCGAUGCCUGCUGAAUUACUUUGAUCGUGUUGUAACUGAAGAACCGAAGGGCGUGGUUACCUUUACGCGUCAAGUGGUGAGUGACUCGGAAUAUCCGAGCUGGGACACAGCUUCAGACACACUUAAUGGAUUUCAUGUCUCCUCUGAAGGAACAAUUGAAAAAGAAGGCAGAGGUCUGCUUCAAGUGGAUUUUGCAAACAAAUUUAUAGGAGGUGGCGUUUUAAACACAGGCUGUGUUCAAGAAGAAAUCCGCUUUGUUAUAUGCCCCGAAUUGAUUGCGGCUUGUUUGUUUUCUGAAGUGAUGGAAAAUAAUGAAGCUCUCAUCAUUACAGGUUGCGAACAGUAUAGUCGGCAUUCUGGUUACGGCGAUACUUUCCGCUUUGAGGGAGAUUUCGUCGAUAACACACCUCGAGAUGCGUAUGGCCGAAGAUUAUGUCAGGUGGUUGCCAUAGAUGCCAUUCCUUUCCGCAGCAAAGAAGUUCAGUACAAGCAGGAAUCUAUCGACAGGGAACUUCGAAAGGCUUUUGCUGGAUUCCAUUGUAGACACGGAGUAGCUUUGACUGCUGUGGCAACGGGAAACUGGGGCUGCGGUGCUUUUCGGGGCGAUCCACGUCUGAAGUGCUUAAUUCAACUUAUGGCAGCUGCCGUUACUCACCGCGAUGUAGUUUAUUUCACGUUUGGUGACAGACAACUACGCGAUGACCUUUACAACAUGUAUUCCCUGCUGAAAGAAAAAGAAGUCACUGUUGGUACAUUGUACACUAUGCUCUGCCAGUACGGCCAGCAAAUCGGGGGAUCGCGGUCCCUUUCACUAGACCUCUACGGCUACCUUUACGCAUUACUGGAUACCCUGGACUCCGAGGACGGAGUCGCCGACUGCAGCUCAGAAACUAACAAUAGCAUCAUAGAGAGCGACGUUGAUGUUGCAGUGGAGAAAAAUUUAUAAGAACGUAAAUUACUGGAAGAAAAAGAAAAUAUUAAUAUCUACCUUGCGAUUCCGAAUAUGGAGGCGGAUUUUCGUGUUUAGAGUCCAUUUUCGGUAAUUUUGAAGUAACAAAGAAACGUACAAUUUAAAAUACCAGAUAACUUUUGAAACCCGCUAAGCAUUGAGCGUAAUCAGGAACUAAACUAGCAAACUGAAAAUCCAGACAAUUUAGGGCUGUCAUAUGGAGCAACGAUGAAGAUAAGCCAUUUUUGGUUGCAUCAUCACUGAUUAUUGAUGAUAAAUUCUCAUUGGGCAAACAUACUGUAGGUUUAAUAAAAACCUAACCGGGUUUUUUCUAAAAAAUCCAUCGUACUGUGCGUCGUUGCCUUAUUUCGAUUAUGCGAAUUUGGUUUUUGACUGUAAUGUCGUUUAUACCGUUUGCAACGAAAACAGAAGCAAUUAAUUCUAAAUCCAUUUUGAUUGGUGUCUUCUCAUAUAGUUUUCAUAAAUAUAUCUUCCCACAAUGGUUGCAUUGCGAUUCCAUCAUCCAAAAGAGCCAGAUGAAACCAAAAGGAAAACAGAUGAGGCAUAGUAGAACUCCGGAAAAAGUAAAAUUUUUCUCCACUUUGCCAACCUAUUAGUGUGAACAGAGUUCAUCGCAUGCUACCUCAGAACCGCUGCCGCUGGUAUCAACAGCUUCAAGUUUGUGUUCUCUAGCAUUUGAUGUGCCAUAGAUAACGGUAUGCGACUGCUGGACUUGUACGGGCCUGGCAAUCUGAGUUAAGAUAAGCUUAUUGGAGUUCGUAGCUGGCACAUGGUAGUCCAUAGCACUGCAGUGAAGUCCAUCUGAAAAUAGGUAAUAUGCAUCUUAAACUCACAAGUUACGUGCUAUUCCACUGUAGCCGUGCGUCUUGUAUGCAGCUACGUGAUGUGCAGACGCUAUGGUAAGCAACACGCGUUAAUUUUAUUCCACCUGUUUGGUUAAGAUGAAAAGAAAAAUCACUCUUUGCUCGCGAAAAGUUAGAAUCCAUAUCUGGGAGAACUUGGUGUUGUAGUUUUCACUCCGAAAUCUAGAAAUCCUCAGUUAGCUACAGUUUUAACCUAGUAUUAGCGAGAUGUUUACGUUAUUGCAAUAGACCGUCUUAUGACACAAAAGUACAAAAUGAAAGAAUCUUUAUCUAAGGUGGGUGGAGACGUCUUAUGGUCCUGGGCGUUACGUGGGAUAAUUCACGUUCCGAUAGGGAUUCUAUCGAAAGUCUAUGAGUAAACGGUACAAUUACCAAACUUAACAUUAGACAAACUCUCGAUCCAUCCAAGUUUUUCCUGAGAUUUCUCCCAAUAGAUAGCGUUUUCGAUUUUGAAACUGCCUUCUACGUUGCUGCACGCUAAUCAUUCGAUUAACUCAUAUGCGAGAAAGGAUCAGCUUCGGGAUUGAGAGCUCUCAGCAAAUACAACAAUAAGCCUACACUCAAGGUACAACCGUGGUUCUUCCCUGACACCUUUGCAGCAUGGAAUGCUUGACAGGGAAUGAGUGUAAAAGAUGCCAAAUUCAGAUGUGGACAAGGCAUGACAGAACAUGUAGGCCAUUUUGGUUACACAGAUUUGAAACUUAAGGUUUCUCAUGUUGGUUAGUUUAAGGCUGUAAUAACUGUGCUGCAAACCUUUCGCAAGGCAUGCUCGUCUUUUUUUUUCAAUGAACUUCAGUGAACUUAAGGAACCCAAAGAUUUCUUACAGCUCAUGCAUCCAUGUCUCCAAAUUCCUGCAGCCCUGUGGUAAUCACAAUUAACAAAAACUUGAGAAGAACACAAGGUGUAGGAAUACUUGGGAAAAUGUGGAGUUCUCCAUCAACAAUGGAUUUAUUUAUUUUUUCUUUCAGAAUUCAGAGAUUGGUUUUUACAAAUUAAGCUUAGUAGAAACUGUACCUUGUAGCUGGUACGUGAUGAACCCGAGAAUUCUCCAUCGGCAUUGGAAAUGUUACCCUGAACGGCAAAUACCUUUGGACAAUGGUUACGCCAAGUACGAAGAAUGUAUUCUUCUUCUCAGCUGUGCUUGCCUUCUCGGUUGCAAUGAAGUACAAUCAUUAGAAUCGAAAGUUUUAAAAGAUCUUUCUGGAAUUCGUGAGUAGGCCUGAGAGAUUUGAAAAAAAAGAGCUGCAUCUAAUUAACAGCCUAUUAUUCGUCCCUAAAAACGCGUCCAGAGGAUCUUCCGUUAAUAUAUCCCAAAUGAUUACAUGCGUUUGGCCAGCAGGCCUUGAAUUGCGAACGAACGUCUAAUAGUUUUGAAUGUUGCAGUUUACCCCACUUUAGCGCAAUUCCAAAAUACCUGCUACCAAGGGAUUUGUAUCUAACACUCUUGGUUUUCGACUGACGCCCUCAGAAUUCUUUUUCCAUACAAUGAAUGGACGUUAGGAUUUGGUGAAUACUGCCGUAAAGACUGCCGAGACAUUUUGACUUAACGUUUAAUGACCUUAAACCAUUGUGUUUACAAUAUCUUUUUAAAGAUAAAUGCAACGAAGAUUUGUGAAGUUCUUGUAAGAUAUAAAUUUCCUGUACGAUUCGAAAGUAAGAAAAUCCUCCCUUUUGAAAUGAUUCAGUUUUUUAUGAAAAUGGUUUGGGCGGCAUCUUCAUCGAAGCUAAAGAUCCCCCUGUAGAUCCGUUAGAUCACGUAACACAAUUAUGGAGAACAUCCCUUAAAAUUGCUUUAUUUUAAUUUAACUCUUAUGGGUAUCGAUCCCCAAACUUUCGGUGUGCGUUGCCGAUGCUCAACCGUUGAGCCAUGAGUUAUAUUUAAUUUUUCACUAAUAUUAGAAGGCAGGAACAGAUAAUAUUUUAAAGGCAAUUUUUAUUGGCUCGUAAAACUAUACGCUAACCUGAAUCGAUCACAUUCAAGGAUCAUAGCUUUGUGGCAGAACAUUGGUGUACGGAUCUUUAGGUCUCGGGUUCAAAUCCCGGUUGAAAGUCAGCACGUAAAUGAGAAUGGAUGUUGUAAUUUCAUUGCAUUUCUAAUAAAUGGAUUUAUUGCGGA